rnacentral:rRNA from 1 species
UCAGUCGUAAAGGCUAAUUUACUCUACUCUCGCCUGGGAACUACGAGCUAAGCUUAAAACCCAAAGGACUUGACGGUACCCCAUAUCCCCCUAGAGGAGCCUGUCCUAUAACCGAUACCCCCCGCUUAACCUCACCAUUUCUAGCUAUUUAUCAGCCUGUAUACCUCCGUCGUCAGCUCACCGCGUGAGCGUCAGUGAGCCUAAUGUUGAUUCAACUACACGUCAGGUCGAGGUGCAACAUAUGUAAUGGGAAGAGAUGGGCUACACUCUCUAACUUAGAACACACGAAAGACUAUUUAUGAAAUCUAGUCAGAAGGCGGAUUUAGAAGUAAAACGGAACUAGAGAGUCCUUGUCAACACGGCUA